rnacentral:rRNA from 1 species
CGAUUACGGGUAGCCGGCCUGAGAGGGCGACCGGCCACACUGGGACUGAAACACGGCCCAGACUCCUGCGGGAGGCAGCAGUGGGGAAUAUUGCGCAAUGGGCGAAAGCCUGACGCAGCGACGCCGCGUGGGGGAUGACGGCCUUCGGGUUGUAAACCUCUUUUACCACCAACGCAGGCUCGAAGUUUUCUUCGGGUUGACGGUAGGUGGGGAAUAAGGACCGGCUAACUACGUGCCAGCAGCCGCGGUAAUACGUAGGGUCCGAGCGUUGUCCGGAAUUAUUGGGCGUAAAGAGCUCGUAGGCGGCGUGUCGCGUCUGCUGUGAAAGACCGGGGCUUAACUCCGGUUCUGCAGUGGAUACGGGCAUGCUAGAGGUAGGUAGGGGAGACUGGAAUUCCUGGUGUAGCGGUGAAAUGCGCAGAUAUCAGGAGGAACACCGGUGGCGAAGGCGGGUCUCUGGGCCUUACCUGACGCUGAGGAGCGAAAGCAUGGGGAGCGAACAGGAUUAGAUACCCUGGUAGUCCAUGCCGUAAACGUUGGGCGCUAGGUGUGGGGACUUUCCACGGUUUCCGCGCCGUAGCUAACGCAUUAAGCGCCCCGCCUGGGGAGUACGGCCGCAAGGCUAAAACUCAAAGGAAUUGACGGGGGCCCGCACAAGCGGCGGAGCAUGUUGCUUAAUUCGACGCAACGCGAAGAACCUUACCAAGGUUUGACAUCACCCGUGGACUCGCAGAGAUGUGAGGUCAUUUAGUUGGCGGGUGACAGGUGGUGCAUGGCUGUCGUCAGCUCGUGUCGUGAGAU